AACCGAACCAAACCAAUUUGGUUCAAUACGUUUGGUUUUUCAGUCUAGUCGGUUUGGUUUGAAUUAGGAUUUUAGAUAAUUUCAGUUUUUCAGUUCGGUUCAGUUAAUUUAAUUAGAAAACUGAACUGACUGAAACUACAUACUAAUUGAUAUUGUUCUAACUCUAUACGGGUAUAGAUCUGCAAGACAGGAGCAAACAUUGGUGGGUUGGCUUAAGUAACCUCUGCGAUAUUAAAUCAGUAAAAGAAUCGAAGAUAAUAUGGAGUAAGAGAGAACUAAGGUAAGGUAAGCAUACCUAAUAGUCCCCUUAUAUGGGCAACAUAUAGACUCCUGUAAAAGUAGGAGUGUUAAUUGGAUUAGGAUUUGGAGUCCGACUAUUAUGGGAUUGAUCUCCUUGUAUCAAAGUCCAUCUAGGUUCAAGACUGUUACUUGAUCAUCCCAAGUAUCUUGGAACCCUAAUCCUUUAGUCAUUGAAUGUCCGAGCUAUACGCAUGAGUCGAAUCAUAUAGGUCAAUGUACAUGGGUUAGACAUCUAAACAACUGACCUAUCACUCGAUUUUAGGGACGUAGUGUUACUAACGUUUGUCAUGUGCUCACUUCAUAUGUUGCGUUUUGCUCAAUAAAUAAACAUAAAUAAAUGCAACUUGUUUUACUUAGUACCCAUUUCCUCUCAUUCUCUCGCUUCUCUUAGAUGCCUCCCCUCCUAGAUUUUUUGAGUUUUCUUCCUCUUCUUCUUCUCCAUUUCUAGUUCUUUUAUUCUCUAUAUAGAUGCAACAUCAUCAAUGGUUGUGGCUCAAACUUGAUUGACACAGCAUCAUCAAUGGUAGUGGCUGGCUUAAUCAAUGGACAACGGUUGUAAUGGCCAGAGGGAUUCACGCGUUGGAAGUAUCGUUCACCUUCAUGCUUCGCUGAUUUUGCCACGAAGGUCAAAGGGAUCUGUGGCUUUGUGCAAUGAAUAUCAAUGGGUGAAGGCUUUGAUGGGCCUGCAUGCUUGAUUUAUGUCUAUGCUUGGAGUCUCCCACGCUUGAUUUCUUUUUCUUUUGCUAUGAUUGUGGAAUUCUUAGAUCAUGAGGGCUCCUUUUUGUUUCUUGAAUUGAUAAUAUUGUUGUGAUACACAUAUAUUUUUGUGUUUAUGUUAUUGUUUGUGUAGUUGCAGAGCGGUUUUUGAGUAGUAGCUUGUGAUGGGUUUUCUUUGAUUCAAGAACCGAUGAAUUGAACCGAACCAAACCAAACCUAUCAUUUGCUCUGCCCUACCUAGGAUUAGUUAUUUAGGUUUCCUGUUUUAAUUAGGAUUUA
rnacentral:misc_RNA from 1 species